CCACUCACAGCGAUUUUCGUAUGUGCCCUGCACUCAUCGACAGCAUUCUGCAUACAGCGUGAGCGAGUCUCAUAGAAUAUAUUUCCUUUAUCGCGCUUUCGUUUGCACUGCCGCAAUUUCUUUUUGUGGGUCGCAUCAAUCAACCAUGGCUGCGCUGACGGAUGAACAGAUUCGCGAGGCCUUCAACCUCUUCGACGCCGACGGCUCUGGCGCUAUCGACGCGGAGGAGAUGGCGCUAGCGAUGAAGGGUCUCGGGUUCGGUGACCUGUCGCGCGACGAGGUGGAGCGCAUUAUCCGCUCUAUGCACACAGACUCGAACGGUCUGGUGGCGUACGGCGAGUUUGAGGCCAUGGUCAAGUCGCGCAUGGCGCAGAAGGACUCGCCGGAGGAGAUCCUAAAGGCCUUUCAGCUCUUCGACCUCGAUAAGAAAGGCAAAAUCUCCUUUGCGAACUUGAAGGAGGUUGCGAAACUGCUGGGUGAGAACCCCGGCGACGAUGUGCUGAAGGAGAUGAUCGCCGAGGCCGAUGAGGACGGUGAUGGCGAGGUGUCCUUCGAGGAGUUCAAGAGCGUGAUGCUGCAGAUGCGUGGAAAGUAGAGGACAGCGCAGGAAGCGCUUGCGCCCUUUGUCUUCACCGCGCAGAGGAGGGGAGAUGGUCAAGGCAGAGAGGAAAAGGUCGAUACCGACCAAGAAAUUCGUAGGUUCAUUGGCAUCCAGCGAAGGGGGCUAGCGGCCGCGGGCCCCGGUGCGUCACCGGCGUCACCUCGUACCGCUUGACCUCUCUCUCUCUCCUUGUCGCUUUACCUGUCCCACCUUUUUUUUUUUUCGUCUGAUUCAACGUUCUCAAUAGAUGGUGCUGUUGGUGUUGAUGAUGAUGGCGGUGUGUGUGUGUGUGCGUGUGCGUGCGCUUCCUUUCUCACCACCAUCUGCCUGCACUUUGAUUUCUCUUCCCUAUGCGUAGGUUCGCGCCGUUCGGUUUUGGGCAGAUCUUUUCUUUCGCUUUUGUAUGGUUGUGUUGCCCAUUUCUAUUUAGGACUUCUUCGUGAUUGUACACCCGGGGCUGUUUUCGUGCGUGGCGGCGCUGUGGUGUUUCGUCUGGGUUGGGUGGCUCUGUCCGUUGCUCUUCCUCUCAACGGAUGAUAGUGCGCGUGUACGUUCUUCUUCCUUUCCUUUUCGUAUUGAUCGCCGACAAGCUCGCUCAGUGGAACUCGGAUAGGGUCGGAGAAGAGCGGGGCGAAACCCUCCGCUCUGCAACGGCAUCCUUUUUCACUCGUUUCGGCGUUCCACCGAGCAGGCGAUAGAUAAACACGGCGGGAAAGCUGGGAAGGCGCUGAGACGCUGAACGAAGAGAGAAGGAUUAGACGUCGUGGCUGAAAAAAAGCGGAAACAAGCGAAUCACGAUGGGACCGGCUGCCCACCAGGCGCCUUCUCGACGCAGUGGAUCAGCAAGGGGAGAUAAGAAGAUGGCACAGGGGGUUCGGGUGCCCUUGGAGGAGUGGGAGAGGACGGGCAACAAGAGCAGACCGCGACUGACAGCGUGAGGGAGUCGCUGGCGCCUUCUGGUGCUCAGCAAUCUCUGCUAAACUGAUCGAGUCACGUAGCUCGAGUAGCAGCACCUCUCGCCCUUCCUCGUCUGUUCUCUAGCGCCUAUCUUUUUUCGUUCGUCCCGCUACAAGUGGCGAAGGAAUUGUGUGUGUGCGCGGGUGGGUAGGCGGCAAUGUGGUCUGCUGACCCUUCCCUUAUCUCUCUGUGCGCGCAUCAGAAGUGCCACUGCUGUUUUUACAUCUGCCGCCUUGCCUCCAUUCACUUCCUUUCAGUGUCCUACGAUUCCUCGCACGCCUCCAACCCCAGACUCCACCGUGAUCGGCUCCACCUCAGCACGUAACACACCGUAAGGACAGC
rnacentral:misc_RNA from 1 species